UCCCUGGUGGUCUAGUGGUUAGGAUU
rnacentral:piRNA from 10 species